GGUGGCUCAGUGGUAGAGUGCUUGCCUUGCAUGCACGAGGCCCUGAGUUUGAUUCCUCAGCACCA
rfam:Dipodomys ordii contig_22043, whole genome shotgun sequence.